rnacentral:rRNA from 1 species
UACGAAGGGGGCUAGCGUUGCUCGGAAUUACUAGGCGUAAAGGGCGCGUAGGCGGCCUUCUAAGUCGGACGUGAAAUCCCUCGGCUUAACCGAGGAACUGCGUCCGAUACUGAAAGGCUUGAAUCCGGGAGAGGGAUGUGGAAUUCCAGGGUGUAGCGGUGAAAUGCGUAGAUAUCUGGAGGAACACCGGUGGCGAAGGCGGCAUCCUGGACCGGCAUUGACGCUGAGGCGCGAAAGCUAGGGGAGCAAACGGG